rnacentral:rRNA from 1 species
CGACGACUAUAAACAAACGAGUGGUUUAAAUGCAAGUCAGAAUUUAUUAUGUCUGGCAACACUUUCGAAUUGCGGGAACCCCCUAAAGCUUUUCUCUACCAACCGUCAUUGGGAAACCGUGAACGGGGCUCAUGUUAACGGCAUGAGGUACGGUAAUAACGAGAACUGAUAAGUGCUUCUGCACGGAAUGGGCAAUCCGCAGCCAAGUCCCUAAGGCGUCUCUCUUUUCGCUACGGGAAAGGUUCACAGACUAAGUGGAAGUGGGCUUUUGUUUAGCUUAAGAUAUAGUCGGGUUCCGUGGGAAACCACAGAAGAGCCGCUGAAUUGGUACCGUUCCGUAGGUGAACCUGCGGAAGGAUCAUUACCAAAAGUAUGCGAACCUGGCUUAGGUCACGGUGAGCUUCAACCCUUUGUGAACUAAAAAAACCUUUUCGCUUCGGUUAGCAGGAGCUGUGUUGCGGGUCACACCCAGCGCGGUUCCAUAAGCCUGCCGAUAGCACCAACCAAUCAAACCUGUCGUCAAAUAUUGUCUGAAUACCAUAUUUUCGAAUGAAAAUUAAAACUUUCAACAACGGAUCUCUUGGUUCUCGCAUCGAUGAAGAACGCAGCGAAACGCGAUAGUUAAUGUGAAUUGCAGAAUUCAGUGAAUCAUCGAGUCUUUGAACGCACAUUGCGCCCAUUGGUAUUCCAUUGGGCAUGUCUGUUUGAGCGUCAUUACAACCCCUCAGCGCAAGCUGGUAUUGAGCUCGCCGAAUCCCCCUAAUCCGGGUCGGCUGGCUUUAAAGUUGUAAGCUCUGCUGGCUGCUACGCCCUAACCGAAAACAUAGUAAAUCUACUCUUGUUGGAAGGUAAGGCUUGCUGUUCCGGCCUGAACAAACUUUUAAUUUUCUAAGGUUGGACCUCAAGAGGAUGUUUCGGUUGCGGCUUGGGCCCAAGUUCCUUGGAACNGGACGUCCUGGAGGGUGAGAAYCCCGUACGUGGAUACCCGGCUUGCUUCCAUGUGAAACUCCUUCGAAGAGUCCAGUUGUCUUGGGAAUG